GACGAACGCUGGCGGCGUGCUUAACACAUGCAAGUCGAACGAAGUGGCGAACGGGUGAGUAACGCGUAAUCAACCUGCCCUUCAGAGGGGGACAACAGUUGGAAACGACUGCUAAUACCGCAUACUGAAGGAGGGGAUUGCGUCUGAUUAGCUAGUUGGAGGGGUAACGGCCCACCAAGGCGGGGACGGGUAGCCGGCCGGAGAGGGUGACGGGCCACAUGGGGACGGAGAUACGGCCCAGACUCCUACGGGAGGCAGCAGGGGGGAUAUUGCACAAUGGGCGAAAGCCUGAUGCAGCGACGCCGCGUGGGGGAUGAAGGCUUUCGGGUUGUAAACCUCUUUCGCUAUCGAACGGGUAGGUGGAGAAGAAGCGCCGGCUAACUACGUGCCAGCAGCCGCGGUAAUUC
rnacentral:rRNA from 1 species